rnacentral:rRNA from 1 species
UACGGAGGUGGCACGCGUUGCUCGGAAUCACUGGGCGUAAAGGGCGCGUAGGCGGGGAGGUAAGUCGGGGGUGAAAUCCCUCGGCCCAACCGAGGAACUGCGCCCGAGACUGCUUCUCUUGAGUCCCGGAGAGGAAGAUGGAAUUCCCGGUGUAGCGGUGAAAUGUGUAGAGAUCGGGAGGAACACCGGUGGCGAAGGCGGUCUUCUGGACGGUGACUGACGCUGAGGCGCGAAAGCGUGGGGAGCAAACGGG